rnacentral:ribozyme from 1 species
AGGAAGGAAGUAAAGAGACGACAGGAAAGAAACGAAAGGCCCUGGACCGGGUUUUUUUUUUUUUUUUUUUUUAAAACACUGUGCUAACGAUUUUGACAAUUCUAAAAUUGAAUUUUGUAAUU